GUGCCAGCAGCCGCGGUAAUACGUAGGUCCCGAGCGUUGUCCGGAUUUAUUGGGCGUAAAGCGAGCGCAGGCGGUUUGAUAAGUCUGAAGUUAAAGGCUGUGGCUCAACCAUAGUUCGCUUUGGAAACUGUCAAACUUGAGUGCAGAAGGGGAGAGUGGAAUUCCAUGUGUAGCGGUGAAAUGCGUAGAUAUAUGGAGGAACACCGGUGGCGAAAGCGGCUCUCUGGUCUGUAACUGACGCUGAGGCUCGAAAGCGUGGGGAGCGAACAG
rnacentral:rRNA from 1 species